AGCCGGCCUGAGAGGGCGACCGGCCACACUGGGACUGAGACACGGCCCAGACUCCUACGGGAGGCAGCAGUGGGGAAUAUUGCACAAUGGGCGAAAGCCUGAUGCAGCGACGCCGCGUGAGGGAUGACGGCCUUCGGGUUGUAAACCUCUUUCAGCAGGGAAGAAGCGCAAGUGACGGUACCUGCAGAAGAAGCACCGGCUAACUACGUGCCAGCAGCCGCGGUAAUACGUAGGGUGCGAGCGUUGUCCGGAAUUAUUGGGCGUAAAGAGCUCGUAGGCGGCUUGUCACGUCGGAUGUGAAAGCUCGGGGCUUAACCCCGAGUCUGCAUUCGAUACGGGCUAGCUAGAGUGUGGUAGGGGAGAUCGGAAUUCCUGGUGUAGCGGUGAAAUGCGCAAAUAUCAGGAGGAACACC
rnacentral:rRNA from 1 species